CCAUCAGAACUCCGCAGUUAAGCGUGCUUGGGCGAGAGUAGUACUAGGAUGGGUGACCUCCUGGGAAGUCCUCGUGUUGCACUCCU
rnacentral:rRNA from 2 species